UGCAUUUCCCACUAGUGAAACCAGUGAGCCAUAAGACACGAUUUUCUCUUCUGUGACCACAGGGUUUUUUUCCCCCCUCUUCCGUGGUCCAUUUUUAUUCUCUUAGAGUUUCCAUCUCUUUAAAUACAUUCUUCAUCUGUUCUUGCAAGAUGUCUACAUUUACCAUUAAAGCCCUUAGCAUAUUAAUCAUAGUUUUAAAAAUUCCUAGGUUCAUAAUUCCAACAUUCUUGCCAUUCUCUGACCCCUGGUUCAGACUUAUUCUGCCUUCAAACCGCGCUUCUUUGGGUGUGGCUUAUAAGCCUUCGUAGACAGGUGAACAUGACCUGGCAAGGACCUGCUGAACACAGGCCAUUAGUGACGUAAUGGGGCAGGGACGGGAAUGCUCCAAGGUCCAAGAGGUUUCCUGUUAAUCUGUGCCCUUAGACGGUGACGUUUACCUGUCUUUUCAUUUUUUCCCCUUUUUAGAGGGUAGGGGUACGGCUGGGUGGUUCACCCAGGAAAGCCGGA
rnacentral:lncRNA from 1 species